GAUGAACGCUGGCGGCGUGCCUAAUACAUGCAAGUCGAGCGAACGGACGAGAAUCUUGCUUCUCUGAUGUUAGCGGCGGACGUGUGAGUAACACGUGUAUAACCUACCUAUAUGACUGGGAUAACUUCGAGAAACCGGAGCUAAUACCGGAUGAUAUUUUGAACCGCAUGGUUCAAAAGUGAAAUACGGUCUUGCUGUCACUUAUAGAGGGAUCCGCGCUGCAUUAGCUAGUUGUUAAGGUAACGGCUUAUUAAGGCAACGAUGCAUAGCCGACCUGAGAGGGUGAUCGGCCACACUGGAACUGAGACAGGGUCCAGACGACUACGGGAGGCAGCAGUAGGGAAUCUUCCGCAAUGGGCGAAAGCAUGACGGAGCAACGCCGCGUGAGUGAUGAAGGUCUUCGGAUCGUAAAACUCUGUUAUUAGGGAAGAACAUCUGUGUAAGUAACUGUGCACAUCUUGACGGUACCUAAUCAGAAAGCAACGGCUAACUACGUG
rnacentral:rRNA from 1 species